rnacentral:rRNA from 1 species
UAACACAUGCAAGUCGAGCGGUAACAUUUCUAGCUUGCUAGAAGAUGACGAGCGGCGGACGGGUGAGUAACGCGUAGAAAUCUACCUAGUAGUGGGGGAUAGCCCAGAGAAAUUUGGAUUAAUACCGCAUACGCCCUACGGGGGAAAGCGGGGGAUCUUCGGACCUCGUGCUAUUAGAUGAGUCUGCGUCGGAUUAGCUUGUUGGUGAGGUAAUGGCUCACCAAGGCGACGAUCCGUAGCUGGUCUGAGAGGAUGACCAGCCACACUGGAACUGAGACACGGUCCAGACUCCUACGGGAGGCAGCAGUGGGGAAUAUUGCACAAUGGGCGCAAGCCUGAUGCAGCCAUGCCGCGUGUGUGAAGAAGGCCUUAGGGUUGUAAAGCACUUUCAGCAGUGAGGAAAGGGGUGUCGUUAAUAGCGCCAUCCUGUGACGUUAACUGCAGAAGAAGGACCGGCUAACUCCGUG